UUUCCACAUUCUAUGGAAGAAGCUUCCUUCUCAUUUCUGUAUUCUUUGAUGAUGAGUAAUUUAAUUGUUUUGAAUAAAGCUCAUUCCAUAGAUUUAUAAUAUCUCUUCUGUGCACAUAAUUUUAUGAUAUUUUUCAUUGUCCUUUCC